rnacentral:rRNA from 1 species
GACGUAGGAGGCGAGCGUUGUCCGGAUUUAUUGGGCGUAAAGAGCGUGUAGGCGGCCAGGUAGGUCUGCUGUGAAAACUCGAGGCUCAACCUCGAGACGUCGGCGGAAACCAUCUGGCUAGAGUCCGGAAGAGGAGAGUGGAAUUCCCGGUGUAGCGGUGAAAUGCGCAGAUAUCAGGAAGAACACCCGUGGCGGAAGGCGGCUCUCUGGGACGGUACUGGACGCUGAGACGGCGAAAGCGUGGGGAGCGAACAGG